rnacentral:rRNA from 1 species
AUGGAGCAUCCUAGUAGAGCGGGCACGGGUCGCGUAACACGUGGAUAAUCUGCCUCAAAGACUGGGACAACCUGCCGAAAGGCUGGUAAUACCAGAUAAGCCCACAGACUCUUCGGAGUUCGAGGGAAAAGGUGGCCUCUGUUUACAAGCUAUCACUUUGAGAUGAGUCCACGGCCCAUCAGCUAGUUGGCGGGGUAAUGGCCCACCAAGGCAACGACGGGUAGCUGGUCUUGAGAGGACGAUCAGCCACACUGGAACUGAGACACGGUCCAGAAUCCUACGGGAGGCAGCAGUGGGGAAUCUUGCACAAUGGGCGAAAGCCUGAUGCAGCAACGCCGCGUGUGUGAUGAAGGUCUUCGGAUCGUAAAGCACUUUCGACUGGGACGAACACCCCUUGGCCAACAUCCAAGGGCCUGACGGUACCAGGAGAAGAAGCACCGGCUAACUCUGUGCCAGCAGCCGCGGUAAUACAGAGGUCUCAAGCGUUGUUCGGAUUCAUUGGGCGUAAAGGGUGCGUCAGUGGCGCCGUAAGUGGGGUGUGAAAUCUCGGGGCUUAACCCCGAAACUGCAUUUCCAUACUGCGGUGCUUGAGGACUGGAGAGGAGACUGGAAUUUACGGUUGUAGCCACGUGAAAUGCCGUUAGAGAUCGUAAGGAAGACCAGUGGC